rnacentral:rRNA from 1 species
CCAGCAGCCGCGGUAAUUAUUAUUGGGCGUAAAGAGCUCGUAGGCGGUUUGUCGCGUCUGCUGUGAAAUCCCGAGGCUCAACCUCGGGUCUGCAGUGGGUACGGGCAGACUAGAGUGCGGUAGGGGAGAUUGGAAUUCCUGGUGUAGCGGUGGAAUGCGCAGAUAUCAGGAGGAACACCGAUGGCGAAGGCAGAUCUCUGGGCCGUUACUGACGCUGAGGAGCGAAAGGGUGGGGAGCAAACAGGCUUAGAUACCCUGGUAGUCCACCCCGUAAACGUUGGGAACUAGUUGUGGGGUCCAUUCCACGGAUUCCGUGACGCAGCUAACGCAUUAAGUUCCCCGCCUGGGGAGUACGGCCGCAAGGCUAAAACUCAAAGGAAUUGACGGGGACCCGCACAAGCGGCGGAGCAUGCGGAUUAAUUCGAUGCAACGCGAAGAACCUUACCAAGGCUUGACAUAUACGAGAACGGGCUAGAAAUAGUCAACUCUUUGGACACUCGUAAACAGGUGGUGCAUGGUUGUCGUCAGCUCGUGUCGUGAGAUGUUGGGUUAAGUCCCGCAACGAGCGCAACCCUCGUUCUAUGUUGCCAGCACGUAAUGGUGGGAACUCAUGGAAUACUGCCGGGGUCAACUCGGAGGAAGGUGGGGAUGACGUCAAAUCAUCAUGCCCCUUAUGUCUUGGGCUUCACGCAUGCUACAAUGGCCGGUACAAAGGGCUGCAAUACCGCGAGGUGGAGCGAAUCCCAAAAAGCCGGUCCCAGUUCGGAUUGAGGUCUGCAACUCGACCUCAUGAAGUCGGAGUCGCUAGUAAUCGCAGAUCAGCAACGCUGCGGUGAAUACGUUCCCGGGUCUUGUACACACCGCCCGUCAAGUCAUGAAAGUCGGUAACACCUGAAGCCGGUGGCCUAACCCUUGUGGAUAGAGCCGUCAAAGUGGGAUUGGUUAAUUAGGAAUAAACUCGUAACAAGGAUAAUCGUAUGGUUUUC